rnacentral:lncRNA from 1 species
UGUUGGAGAGGCUUAAGUCAUGGCUCACGCGUGACUAUGUUAGGGAGCCUAAGCCUGAUCUUGAGUUUCCGUGGAUGAGGUAUAAUUUUCUUGACAAGAAGGUUUGAGAAAAGUUUGUGAAAUCUUGUAGUUCUGAGGAGUUCGUGGUUAGUACUAAUUUUAUUUUAUGGUAAUUUAAUGCUUAUGCUUUAUAGAUAAAACCAAGCAAGAUAAUAUUUUAUUCAAUGUUUAAAAUAGGUUAAAAUUGAAGCAAGAAAGCAAAACAAGGCAAAAAAGCAAACAUCCCAUAGAUUGUCUCGUGGGGGAUACAUGAAACUUGAGAAAACAAUGGUUGUUGAAAAAAGAAAAAAAAAACUAGGAGAUGGGGA